rnacentral:rRNA from 1 species
CAAGGUUUCCGUAGGUGAACCUGCGGAAGGAUCAUUACCACACCUAAAAAAAACAUCUUUCCACGUGAAUUGUUUUUGUUGUAAGCUUGGGCUUCGCUGUGUGUGUGCGCUUGUCGUACCAUCGGUUUGAGGCCAUCAGGACUUGUACGAGUCCUUCUUUGUAAACCCAUUUCUUUUGUUAUUAUUAAAACUGAUCAUUACUGUGGGGACGAAAGUCUCUGCUUUUGAACUAGAUAGCAACUUUCAGCAGUGGAUGUCUAGGCUCGCACAUCGAUGAAGAACGCUGCGAACUGCGAUACGUAAUGCGAAUUGCAGGAUUCAGUGAGUCAUCGAAAUUUUGAACGCAUAUUGCACUUUCGGGUUUUGCCUGGAAGUAUGUCUGUAUCAGUGUCCGUACACUAAACUUGCCUUUUCUUGCGUCGUGUAGUCGUCGCGUGGGAAUGUGCAGAUGUGAGGUUGUCUUGCUGUUCUUUGUGAGUUGGCAAGUCCCUUUAAAAGUCGGACGUGUGUGUUCUCUGUAGUGUGCUGGUGGCGGCUUUGGUGGCGUGCGGGACGUUGUCUGUUGACGAGUCUGGCGACCUUUGGCGUGUGCAUUGCGGGUGUGUGCUCGAUUGGCGGUAUGUUAGGCUUCGGCUUUGACAAUGCAGCUUAUUGGGUGUGCUUUUCUCGUGGCGCGUGCUGUAUGAGGGUGAACCGGAUGGUUGGUGGGCUUUUAUUGUUUUGCGUGCCUGUCUGGAGCUGUGUUGGCGUGCUAUUGAGACGUGUUCACCAUUUGGGAACUAUAUGUAUUAAAAAUGCAUCUCAAUUGGACCUGAUAUCAGACAAGAUUACCCGCUGAACUUAA